rnacentral:rRNA from 1 species
UACGGGGGGAGCAAGCGUUGUUCGGAAUCACUGGGCGUAAAGCGCGUGUAGGCGGUUCGGUAAGUGGGAUGUGAAAUCCCUCGGCUCACCCGAGGACCUGCAUCCCAUACUGCUGAGCUUGAGUACAGGAGAGGGUGGGGGAAUUCCUGGUGUAGCGGUGAAAUGCGUAGAUAUCAGGAGGAACACCGGUGGCGAAGGCGCCCACCUGGCCUGCUACUGACGCUAAAGCGCGAAAGCUAGGGGAGCAAACGGG